CCUACGGGAGGCUGCAGUCGAGAAUCAUUCACAAUGGGGGAAACCCUGAUGGUGCGACGCCGCGUGGGGGAAUGAAGGUCUUCGGAUUGUAAACCCCUGUCAUGUGGGAGCAAAUUAAAAAGAUAGUACCACAAGAGGAAGAGACGGCUAACUCUGUGCCAGCAGCCGCGGUAAUACAGAGGUCUCAAGCGGUGUUCGGAAUCACUGGGCGUAAAGCGUGCGUAGGCUGUUUCGUAAGUCGUGUGUGAAAGGCGCGGGCUCAACCCGCGGACGGCACAUGAUACUGCGAGACUAGAGUAAGGGAGGGGGAACCGGAAUUCUCGGUGUAGCAGUGAAAUGCGUAGAUAUCGAGAGGAACACUCGUGGCGAAGGCGGGUUCCUGGACAUUAACUGACGCUGAGGCACGAAGGCCAGGGGAGCGAAAGGGAUUAGAUACCCGGGUAGUC
rnacentral:rRNA from 1 species